rnacentral:misc_RNA from 1 species
GUGAAUCAUCAAAUUUUUGAACGCAAAGCGCACUCUCUGGUAUUCCGGAGAGUAUGCCUGUUUGAGGGUCAGUUUAAAUAAAAACCGGUGUGGUUGCUGCCUUUCGUGGUGACGCACCGGAUUUGGGUCGUCUUGCCUUCGGUCAAGUGAACUAAAAUUUUGCAUGAUUUAUUUCGAACGUAUUUAAAUGAUUUUAAGUAUGUUUGCGUUAUUGA